UUGACCUCAAAUCAGGUAGGACUACCCGCUGAACUUAAGCAUAUCAAUAAAGCGGGAGGAA
rnacentral:rRNA from 1 species